CAAUCGGCCCUUUUCAGGGCCACACAAAUAAGCCAAAAACAAACAU
rfam:Lasius niger Lnig_2.1_15172, whole genome shotgun sequence.